GACAGAGGGUGCAAACGUUGUUCGGAAUUACUGGGCGUAAAGCGCGUGUAGGCGGCUAUGUAAGUCGGGCGUGAAAUCCCACGGCUCAACCGUGGAAGUGCACCCGAAACUGCGUAGCUAGAGUCCUGGAGAGGAAGGUGGAAUGCUUGGUGUAGAGGUGAAAUUCGUAGAUAUCAAGCGGAACACCGGUGGCGAAGGCGGCCUUCUGGACAGUGACUGACGCUGAGACGCGAAAGCUAGGGUAGCAAACGGG
rnacentral:rRNA from 1 species